rnacentral:lncRNA from 10 species
GGUGACAUCGCAAAAUACAUGGGUGAAGACAACCUAGUGGCCGUGACUUGGAGCACCCUUCCUCACAAUGAAGGCAUUCUGGGCCAGCCUGAAAAACAGCAUGGAAAUAAAUCACCUAAGUACAAGGGACUGGCUUAAAAAUGGUCUAAUGAAAUGUCAAAAGAGUUCUCCUGUGGAGCUUCGGAGAAGUUUCCUUACCCUUUAAAAAAAGAAAAGAAGAAAAGGAAAA